AUCACUACAAUACCAAUUCCCAAGUGAUCACCAGAGUUAAGCAGCUUUGUGUCUGGUCAGUACCUAGAUGGGUGACUGCUUGGGAAUAUCAGGUGCUGCAAG